CUGCCCAGCUCGAGCUGUAAUGGAGGCUGUUCCGAGGCUGUAGUGCUCGUGUGUUUCGAUGAACAUGAGGAUCGUCUGAGGAAGAUGGUCAUCGACGCUGCGAAUCCCAACGGGCCCUUCCCGCCCGUGGCUCUCCUGCACUUCAGGGACGUGGCUCCGGCUGAGCAGGAGAAGCUCUUCGUCCAGAAGCUGCGCCAGUGCUGCGUCCUCUUCGACUUCCUCUCGGACCCACUCAGCGACCUGAAAUGGAAGGAGGUGAAGCGUGCGGCGCUCAGCGAGAUGGUGGAGUUCCUCACACACAACCGCAGUGUGAUCACCGAGCCCAUCUACCCCGAGGUGGUGCACAUGUUUGCCAUCAACAUGUUCAGGGCUCUUCCGCCUUCGUCCAACCCGACGGGAGCAGAGUUUGACCCCGAGGAGGACGAACCCACUCUGGAAGCAGCGUGGCCUCACCUACAGCUGGUGUACGAGUUUUUCCUGCGGUUUUUAGAGUCGCCCGAUUUUCAGCCCAAUGUUGCAAAGAAGUACAUUGACCAGAAAUUUGUGAUGCAGCUUCUAGAGUUGUUUGACAGUGAAGAUCCUCGAGAACGGGACUUCCUGAAGACCACCCUGCACCGGAUAUACGGGAAGUUCCUCGGGCUGCGCGCUUAUAUCAGAAAGCAAGUCAAUAACAUAUUUUACAGGUUUAUUUACGAGACCGAGCAUCACAACGGAAUAGCUGAACUGCUGGAGAUCCUAGGAAGCAUCAUCAACGGUUUUGCUUUACCGUUAAAAGAGGAGCACAAGAUAUUCCUGCUGAAGGUUUUGCUUCCGCUGCACAAGGUGAAGUCUCUGAGCGUCUACCACCCGCAGCUGGCGUAUUGUGUGGUCCAGUUCCUGGAGAAGGACAGCACGCUCACAGAGCCGGUGGUGAUGGCUCUGCUCAAGUACUGGCCCAAGACCCACAGCCCGAAGGAGGUGAUGUUCCUGAACGAGCUGGAGGAGAUCCUGGACGUGAUCGAGCCGUCGGAGUUCGUCAAGGUCAUGGAGCCGCUCUUCCGUCAGCUCGCCAAGUGUGUGUCCAGCCCUCACUUCCAGGUGGCGGAGAGAGCGCUGUAUUACUGGAACAACGAGUACAUCAUGAGCCUCAUCAGUGACAACGCAGCCAGGAUUCUGCCCAUCAUGUUCCCGGCGCUUUACCGAAACUCCAAGAGCCACUGGAACAAGACGAUCCACGGUUUGAUCUAUAACGCACUGAAGCUCUUCAUGGAGAUGAACCAGAAGCUGUUCGACGACUGCACACAACAGUUCAGAGCCGAGAAGAACAAAGAGAAGGCAAAGCUGAAGGAGCGAGAGGAGGCCUGGAUAAAGAUCGAGAGUCUGGCCAAGUCGAACCCACAGUGCGUUUUGUAUGUCGGUCCGUCUGGACUAACCAGUCCUGUAGAAAUGGAGACGGACGUUCCCUUUAUAGAAGAGGUUGAGAUCUUAAAAAAGACAGUGCAGUCCAGAGCCGUUCAGAUGUCGAGGGAGCAGAGGAAGGAGCGGCCGCUCGUCAGGCGUAAAUCUGAUGUGCCUCAGGACUCGAACACCUCGAAAGCCUUGGAGUCGCAGCGUCGAUCCGAAGACUCGCUCAACACUAGCGCCGGACACUAGCUCUCGCCGGACACUAGCUCUCGCCGGACACUAGCUCUCGCCUCAUCAUCCUCAGGGACGGCUGCCAGUGCCAAUACGGUCAUGUUUAUUAGCUUCCCGCUAACAUUGCAUAGUUUGAUUAGUAUGAUUUCUGCUGAGCUAAUGUGGUGUUUGAGAGUAAAAGCCGUCAUGCAUUAUGUGUGUGUGAUCGCUCAGAUCUGACGACUCUGAGUUCCUACACUUCUGUGCCAUAAUGAACUCUAGCUGAACAUUGUGUCUUGUUUUAAUGGACUUUCUCCGGAGGAAUCUUCCACUCGUUGUGCCGUUUCACCGGUUCAAACUCAAACACUGGUGAGGUUCUCCAGCGGAUCAGUGACGCGGCCUGGAGCCGAACCGCGAGUCUGUGUGUGUGUGUGUGUGUGUGUGUGUGUGUGUGACGUCAUCUGAAUGUCACGGUCAUUCCCAGAUCACAGAUUCAUCCGACAUGGAUCCGCUGUUGAACCGGAGUUCCCGAACGGACUGUGACUCUCAUCCGUCAGGAUCUCUGUGCCUUUCAGCAGCGAUGAGAGUCGAUCACUGAGCCUUCGGUCCGUGCGGAUGGUCCCGAUCCCAACGCAGCAGUGUGUGUGUGUGUGUGUGUGUGUGUGUGUCUGUGUGAGCGACAGCGACGCUUCGAUUGUUCAUUUCCAUCUGGAUGUUUUCCUGUUAUUUUACUGAACUACCUAGAAGCACUUCCUGAAAACUUGAAAACUCUACUGUGUGUGUGAGUGUGUGUGUGUGUGUCUGUGUGUGUGAGUGAGUGAGUGAGUGAGUGAGUGAGUGUGU